UAUACUGCAGUCGAGCGGACUCUUCGGAGGUCAGCGGCGGACGGGUGAGUACACCUGGGCAACCUGCCUGUAAGACUGGGAUAACUCCGGGAAACCGGAGCUAAUACCGGAUAACCUUUUGAACCGCAUGGUUCAAAAUUGAAAGACGGUUAUGCUGUCACUUACAGAUGGGCCCGCGGCGCAUUAGCUAGUUGGUGAGGUAAUGGCUCACCAAGGCGACGAUGCGUAGCCGACCUGAGAGGGUGAUCGGCCACACUGGGACUGAGACACGGCCCAGACUCCUACGGGAGGCAGCAGUAGGGAAUCUUCCGCAAUGGACGAAAGUCUGACGGAGCAACGCCGCGUGAGUGAUGAAGGUUUUCGGAUCGUAAAGCUCUGUUGUCAGGGAAGAACAAGUGCGGGAGUCACUGCCCGCGCCUUGACGGUACCUGACCAGAAAGCCACGGCUAACUACGUGCCAGCAGCCGCGGUAAUACGUAGGUGGCAAGCGUUGUCCGGAAUUAUUGGGCGUAAAGCGCGCGCAGGCGGUCUUUUAAGUCUGAUGUGAAAGCCCCCGGCUCAACCGGGGAGGGUCAUUGGAAA
rnacentral:rRNA from 1 species